rnacentral:rRNA from 1 species
UACGGAGGGUGCAAGCGUUGUCCGGAUUUACUGGGCGUAAAGAGUUCGUAGGCGGCUUUGUAAGUUAUCCUUCAAAGACCGGGGCUCAACCUCGGGAAGGGGGGUAAUACUACAAAGCUUGAAGAAUACAGGGGCUACUGGAACUGUCGGUGUAGGAGUGAAAUCCGUUGAUAUCGACAGGAACACCGAGGGCGAAGGCAAGUAGCUGGGUAUUUUUUGACGCUGAGGGACGAAAGCCAGGGGAGCGAAAGGG